UAUGUCUAGCCGCUACUUCAUUUGCUCAACCCAACCUAGAAUGCAAUAUAACGACAGCAUUUUCGUUUUGGGGGGCGCGCAAGUUGUCUUCGGUUACCACAAGUGUCAUGUUAUUUCUACGUAAGUCGAUGGACUGCGACUUGUGUCUUUCACAAGUCCGAACUCUGAUAAAGACAGAGGGAGAGCUCGCGCAUAAUAUUACUCUGGUAUGUUCGGUGUGGUAAGUCGCAUCAUGUGCUUGGUCAGCUUGCUUGCAAGAAAAUGUUGUCGCGACAAUGGUUUAUUGUUUGUGUCAACGGACGUUUCUUAUCUCGGCUCGUAUACAAUGAUGUGUUUUGCUUGCUUGGUUAGCGUCUACCUCGUCUACUACAUAACUGUUUGAUUAUGCGGAUGAAGGCUGCGUGGAAAACGGUUUAUUCACCUGUCGUUGUGUUCCAAAAUCAUAAGGCUUUAAUGCGGAGGGUUAUAGUUAGCCAAUUUCUCUCUUUCACGAGCAGGGAUUUGUUGCUUUGUUGACACUACAGGGAAGUUUACUGGUUUAUAGAAAGUUGUGGCUAGAGCAUAGGCAAUAAGGCAACAGCUACUACAAGUAUGCAUGAUAGCUGAUAUCAGCCGCAAAUCGUGCGUGUGUAGUAGUUCCAGAGACCGUUUAGUUCUAAUGUGACUGUGUGAUAUUGUACUCUGUAGUAUGUGCAGCAUUUCCGAAGACUGGUUGGUUUAUAUUUGUAUUAAUGUAAAUGAAAUAUAUAAAGUUGUUGUGUGCACUACAGUAGUGAGACAAAAGCCUUUCAUACAUUUAGUUAAGGUUGCCUGUAUGUUUUGAAGGUGUGUCUGGAAAGCCCUGUAACGUUUUGUCUUAAAAAAAACAAAAAAUCUCUUCUGCUCUGGAUAAGAUGGAUGUCUUUCCUCUGACCUGUUACCAAGACAGCUGGAUGUGUAGGAAGCUGGAACUAAGUCACUGAAGAAGUAAACCGAUGAAAACCGAUUGGGAUUGUCUGAGAGAUGUAAUUGACUGAGUUCAGGACAAAUGUGUCAACUAUAUUGUAGGCCUAUUACUUUAACAAUAAAAUCACAAUAACUGUUUAUUUUUUGGCUGUAGGACACAAGUAAAAGGAGAAGAAUGCUGCUCAGCUGGGUCGGCGAAGCUCUUGGAUAUCAUCAGCAUCUAUGAAGGCACCGGUAGGCACAGAGUCAUUCCGGUAGGCAUGGAGUCGUUCCUCGAUGGACGUGAUGACCUGGCACCAAAACCGCUUAAUGUGUAUGAAGCUGUCUGCAUCGAGGGAAGAACCCAGUGCUGAAAUGACACAAGUAAAAGGAGAAGAAUGCUGCUCAGCUGGGUCGGCGGUCACACUACUUAUUCAAGAAGCUCUUGGAUAUCAUUGGCAUGUAUGCAGGCACCGGUAGGCACAGAGUCAUUCCGGUAGGCACGGAGUCGUUCCUCGAUGGACAUGAUGACCUGGCACCAAAACCGCUUAAUGUGUAUGAAGCUGUCUGCAUCGAGGGAAGAACCCAGUGCUGAAAUGACACAAGUAAAAGGAGAAGAAUGCUGCUCAGCUGGGUCGGCGGUCACACUACUUAUUCAAGAAGCUCUUGGAUAUCAUUGGCAUGUAUGCAGGCACCGGUAGGCACAGAGUCAUUCCGGUAGGCACAGAGUCGUUCCACGAUGGACGUGAUGACCUGGCACCAAAACCGCUUAAUGUGUAUGAAGCUGUCUGCAUCGAGGGAAGAACCCUGCACUGAAGUGACACAAAUGAAAGAAGAGGACUUCUGCUCUGCUGGGUCUGCGACACUACUUAUCUGAGGAGUCCUCACACAUCAGGAUGUAGGAAACUUGUGGUGAGAUGCCAAGAGCCGCCAUGAGGGAUAUGCAACCUGCAGCUUCACUGUGCUUUUGGAAGAUCAUCUACUACGUGAACCUUGAGUAUCUACAAGCCAGCUACUACAAGGUCCUGUACAAACUGUCAAUCUAAAUGUUGCGACAUCCCUGUCAGUUAUUUUGGACUGAAUACAUGCUGUGUUUGAAAUGUAUUAUUCGGAUAACCACCCAUCAGGGAAUACCUUGUCUGUUAAUGGCGGAUAGACAUGCCAUGGACAUGCAGUGCACACUUUGAUGUUUUUUAUUUUAAUGUUUUCUAUGUUUUUCCAAUGUUCUUUUUUAUUUAUGUUCUGUUAUAUGAUGGUUAUGUAAGUACUGUAUGGAAUGUAGUGACUAUAGAGCCCAAGACAAAUUUCAACCUGGGGACAAAAAGUUCACUCCACUCUGUUAGCGCAGUUAUGGAUGCACUGUAAAUUUUGUAAUUAACCAAAAGUACGGUGAGAAGCCUGUUUGUGCAGAUGGAACUGCUGGCGGGCCUGUUUACUCAUAGCUAAAAAAGCAACAUAUACUCUGUGCAAAGCACAUGGGCUCUUCGCAAAGGGGUUAAAGGGACACAGUGUGAGAUUUUUUGUUAUUUAUUUCCAGAAUUCAUGCUACCCAUUCAAUAAUGUUACCUUUUUCAUGAAUAUUUACCACCACUAUCAAAUUCUAAGUAUUCAUUAUGACUGAAAAAAAUGCAUUUUUCAUACAUGAAAAGGGGGAUCUUCUCCAUGGUCCGCCAUUUUGAAUUUCCAUAAACAGCCAUUUUUAGCUGCAAAAAUGACUGUACUUGGACCAUACUAGAAAAUAUUUGUAUAUUACUUAGUAAACGUUCAUGUUAAUAUCAAAUUUGGCAAUAGGCAACCCAGUUUCAAUGAGCAGCAUAGUUGCAGUACCUUUUUUGACUAUUUCCUGCACAGUGUCCCUUUAAACAUUUUAAUGUACUGUUUUACAGUGUGCUAUACAAAAGGUAAGGUGAAACUAAAUUUUUGAAAUUCUAUAAUUCUACAGUGUCACUGAAAUCAAAUGGUACAUUGGUAAAACCGAACCAUUUCCUUUAACCCCUUUUAGCAGAGCCUUUACUGUCACCAAUAUUGUAAUGACUGAGUUUUAACCUGUUACUUAAGGCUCUUGGUAAUGUCAUAGCAAUGUUGCUAUGAUGUAGUUGAGUCUUUUCAGUCAUGAGUGAUCAGUCUUGCUGAUAACCCAUCUUUGCAAAGAGGAUACAAAGACGCAUGUAAAUUCAAUUAAGGUUUUAUUGCUCCAAUGCUAUCAUGUGUUAAUGCUACACUGCUGUGAUUUGCAUCUUUAUAGUAUAUUAUGAAAUGUAUUGUUAAUUACCUUCAUUGUUCAGCAAUA